rnacentral:RNase_P_RNA from 2 species
GCUGGGGAGUGCACAGCCGUCGGUAGCGUUCCCGUCAAAGGGGCGCAGCUGAGGAAGUUCCGCCCUCCCAACCAUUAGGUUGCAUGGGCACGCAAGUGCCACCGUUUAAGGCGGUAGCGUGGAACAGAAACGAUAACCCUUCCCGGAGCCGAAUGGGCCGCAAGGCGACACUGUCCGGGCAAAGGGGUUGAAACGAGCCGCGCUUGGAGCAAGGCCAUCGAGCCGCUUAGUCGAAUGCUGUGGACAACAGAAGGCGGACUACGGCUCCCCUCC